UCUUCCCUCUUUCCUCGUGCCUAAUACAUGCAAGUCGAGCGAACGGACGAGAAGCUUGCUUCUCUGAUGUUAGCGGCGGACGGGUGAGUAACACGUGGAUAACCUACCUAUAAGACUGGGAUAACUUCGGGAAACCGGAGCUAAUACCGGAUGAUAUUUUGAACCGCAUGGUUCAAAAGUGAAAGACGGUCUUGCUGUCACUUAUAGAUGGAUCCGCGCUGCAUUAGCUAGUUGGUAAGGUAACGGCUUACCCAGGCAACGAUGCAUAGCCGACCUGAGAGGGUGAUCGGCCACACUGGAACUGAGACACGGUCCAGACUCCUACGGGAGGCAGCAGUAGGGAAUCUUCCGCAAUGGGCGAAAGCCUGACGGAGCAACGCCGCGUGAGUGAUGAAGGUCUUCGGAUCGUAAAACUCUGUUAUUAGGGAAGAACAUAUGUGUAAGUAACUGUGCACAUCUUGACGGUACCUAAUCAGAAAGCCACGGCUAACUACGUG
rnacentral:rRNA from 1 species